UAGAACUUUUGAAGCAAUAGCAGUCAAGUUGAGAAGUUGUUUUCCAGAAAAGACAAGAAGAACAAAAUAUAAUAGAUAGGAGGAUGAAGAUCUCUAGCAAAAUAAACCAGUUUCUUCUACUUUGGAGGGAAUUUGUUCAGUGAAGUUUAAGUCCCUGGUAUAAAGAUGCAAUGAUAGAUCACCAUUAUCUUCAAUUUGCUCACAUUCCAGUGAGUCAGAAACCUAAAAAUGUUAUUAUGGAUUGUACUGAAACCUACUCAGCACAGCUUCACAAUUAAGAGUUUCAUGGCAUUUCACUAAAGGAGCAGCAAGAUGGCUAUACAAUGUUCAGUCUUGAAAAUUUAAAGUACUUGCAAAUUCUUAAGAAUACCUUUACUGCCAGUUUAGAACAGUAAGUAUAAUAACAUAUUCCUUAUUAAGUAAAGUCUCACAAAUUAAAACACAUUUAAAAUAGCUUUAAAUGCAUUCUUCACAAGUAAGUCAGCAUAUA